GUGCUUGCUUCAGCAGCAUAUAUACUAAAAGUGGAAUGAUACAGAGAAGAUUAGCAUGGUCCCUGGGCAAGGAUGACAUACGAAUUUGUGAAGCAUUCCAUAUUUUU